CCUACGGUGGGCUGCAGUAGGGAAUAUUGCUCAAUGGGGGAAACCCUGAAGCAGCAACGCCGCGUGGAGGAUGAAGGUUUUAGGAUUGUAAACUCCUUUUGUGAGAGAAGAUAAUGACGGUAUCUCACGAAUAAGCACCGGCUAACUCCGUGCCAGCAGCCGCGGUAAUACGGAGGGUGCAAGCGUUACUCGGAAUCACUGGGCGUAAAGAGUGCAGAGGGGCGUGUAAGUGAGAUGUGAAAUCCUGUAGCUUAACUACAGAACUGCAUUUGAAACUAUGAGUCUAGAGUAUGGGAGAGGUAGGUGGAAUUCUUGGUGUAGGGGUAAAAUCCGUAGAGAUCAAGAGGAAUACUCAUUGCGAAGGCGACCUGCUAGAACAUAACUGAUGCUGAUGCGCGAAAGCGUGGGGAGCAAACAGGAUUAGAUACCCCUGUAGUC
rnacentral:rRNA from 1 species